rnacentral:rRNA from 1 species
UACAGAGGGGGCAAGCGUUGUUCGGAAUUACUGGGCGUAAAGGGCGCGUAGGCGGCUCGGUAAGCGUGCGGUGAAAGCCUGGGGCUCAACCCCGGGUCGGCCGUGCGAACUGUCGAGCUCGAGCACUGUAGAGGCAGGCGGAAUUCCGGGUGUAGCGGUGAAAUGCGCAGAUAUCAGGAGGAACACCGGUGGCGAAGCGGCUUUCUGGGCCUUACCUGACGCUGAGGAGCGAAAGCUGGGGGAGCAAACAGG